GCGAAAGUGGCGGAAUGGUAGACGCGCCGGACUUAGGAUCCGGUGGCUUCGGCCGUGGGGGUUCGAGUCCCCCCUUUCGCA
rnacentral:tRNA from 1 species